rnacentral:rRNA from 1 species
GACGAACGCUGGCGGCGUGCCUAAUACAUGCAAGUAGAACGAGUUGCGAACGGGUGAGUAACGCGUGGUAACCUGCCUCAUAGCGGGGGAUAACUACUGGAAACGGUAGCUAAUACCGCAUACCAUCGGAUGUGCCCAGAGGGGAUUAGCUAGUAGGUGGGGUAACGGCUCACCUUGGCGACGAUCCCUAGCUGGUCGGAGAGCAUGACCAGCCACACUGGAACGGGGAAACGGUCCAGACUCCUACGGGAGGCAGCAGUGGGUAGUAUUGCACAGUGGGCAAAAGCCUGAUGCAGCCAUGCCGCGUGUAGGAAGAGGGCCGUCGGGUUGUAAAGUACUUUCAGCGAGGAGGCGUUACUCACAGAAGAAGCACCGGCUAACUCCGUGCCAGCAGCCGCGGUAAUUC